CGUCUCCGUGGCCGGGCGUCUGCGCCGCGGCGCCUCUCUCGCCGUCAGACUGCCCGGGCGCGGCGGACCGUUCGAAGCGGUCGGUGAUCGC
rnacentral:tRNA from 1 species